CUCCAUUAAAGUAAAUACAUUAAAGCAUAGGGACUCCAUUACAAAAAAAAAAAAGAUCAAUAAAGAACAAGAACAACAAUCGGAGUCUACAGUGUUAUCGUCCAAGUCGGCGUCUCUCUCCUUCCACUUCAAUGGCAGCAGAACCCGACCCGGUAUUGGAAAACCCUACCAGUGGCGAGGAUGACCUUGACGAAGAAGACGAGGAAGAAGAGGAAAUCCAACCCGAACUACCAAAUACGGGAAGCCGAGAGUCUCGAGCACGAAUAGAGCGAGCAAAGCUUGAGAGCCUCUUUCGUCGGAUACAGACUGAAAUGUUACCUCUUCGUGUCCACGAUGUGAUCAUCAAGGGGAACUCCAAGACGAAGGACUCCUUGAUCGAAGCCGAAACGGCGCUGCUUAAAGACGUUUCUUCGAUGCAAGAGUUGAUGGCGGCUUCGAAAGAUGUGAAUUUCAGGUUGCAGGCGCUUGAGGUUUUUGAUUCGGUUAGGAUCACGCUCGAUUCGGGCCCGCCGGAGCUACCUGGGACGGCUAAUGUCAUCGUUGAGGUUGUGGAGACUAAGUGUCCAUUGUCUGGAGAAGUCGGCGCAUACACGAAAGGCGAGGCUAGAUCUUCAACAGUUGAAGGAUCGGUCAAGUACAAAAACAUAUUUGGUUAUGGGGAUCUUUGGGAUGCCUCUUUGGCAUAUGGUGGUGACCACAUGGCUGAGGUAAGUUCUGGUGUGUAUUUGCCAAGAUUCAAAAGACUUGCUCCUGUGACGGCAAGAGUAUUCCUGCUAUCUCAAGAUUGGCUGAAAUUUUCUUCUUUCAAAGAACGAACAUUGGGCCUCUCUGUUGGCUUAGUUUCAAGCAGGAACCAUGAUUUGGUGUACAAUCUCUCAUGGCGCACUUUGACAGAUCCAUCACAAAUGGCAUCCAGGUCAAUAAGGAGGCAGCUUGGUCAUGGUUUGCUUUCAUCCUUGAAAUACACAUUUAAGAUUGACCGGAGAAAUUCACCUUUGAGGCCAACACAUGGAUAUGCUUUUGUUUCUACCACUCAAAUUGGUGGUCUUGCACCUGAUAGUCGGAGUAUACGGUUUUUGCGCCAGGAGCUUGAUCUUCGUUAUGCGGUCCCUCUUGGAUUUUUGCAUUCUGCACUCAACCUUGGGAUCUCUGGUGGUCUUAUUUUUCCAUGGGGAACUGGAUUCUUAAACAUGCCUUCUCCCUUACCAGAGAGGUUCUUCUUGGGUGGUAAUUUAUCUCCAAUUUGCACUUUGGGAGGUCCGAUAGCAUUAUAUGGGUUUAGGACAAGGGGACUGGGCCCUACUGAUCUUCGAAGGCAAUUGCAAAGUAAUCCAACUGAUGAUAGUGCUGACCCUGGGAGAGAUUACAUUGGAGGAGACCUUGCUGUGACUGCUUUUGCGGAUGUUUCUUUUGAUUUUCCAUCCAAGUGGUGUCAAUCGAAAGGAAUCCAUGGACACAUGUUUGCAUCUACUGGAAAUAUUGACAAAUUAACAGAAAACGCAUACCAAAAUUUAUCCUUGCGAAAGUUUGUGGAAUCAUUUCGAACUUCCGCGGGAGUUGGGAUUGUUGUUCCUACAAAUCUGUUCCGUCUAGAGUUAAACUACUGCUACAUGUUGAAGAAAUUUGAUUAUGACCAUGGGAAGUCAGGGUUCCGGGUCAGCUUCUCUACGCCAACAUAGAAUCUGGAAUCUAUUGGAUAUGUAAUGUCUGACAGAUUUCAUUUGACAAAGGAAAGCUUUCAAAUCAGAUACAGGUAGAGGGCUUGUUCUCUUUGCUUGAAGCCAGACACUUUUUCUUUCAUUGGCACUGCGUGUACUAACAUUAUGUCAUUACCGAGGUUCAUUCUGCUUUGGGAGGCUUUUCAGCGUAUCAGGAAAUCUUUAUUUCAUAUGAAAGAUACUUCUUGUGAUCAGAGGGGCUAAAAGGCUCAAGCGGCAAAAGACGCUGUCAUAGCAUAUCAGAAUAUAGGGUAUGAUAACCUUUGAUUGGGAGUAGGCAUAACAUACAAUCCAUUGUCACAGAGCUGUAUGAUUCUUAGCAAAAUAAUGCUGUUAAUUCUUAUUGGAUUGAUCGUUUAUUGGUUAGAGUAUAUAGACUUCGUAGGGGGGCGGGUGGGUGAAUGCCAUUGAUAAUGAUGAUGAGUGCAAUGGUGGCUUGAAAGUAGCAUAAUCAUAUAAUAUUCGAUUUGGCUUCUUAUUUGAACUUCCUUGCCUCUUUCUACAAGUUAGACUGAGAAAGUUAUGCGCAGCCCAUUGCGACUUCUGUGGAUUUGGAAAUGGUAAUAUGAGGAAAUGCCAAAUAACUUAGUUCUUUAGUAGUUUUGGGUACUCAGAAUGAAAAGUGACUCCUAAGGUGUUUCUAAUAUUUAAUGCUGUUGAGGUAAUUAUAUGUACUAAUGGUUAGGUUGCCAUGCCGAGGUCAAAGUGAUCUCUCUCUCUCUCUCUCUCUCUCUCUCUAUUAUUUGUUUUUUCCAGUCAAUCGGCGUCAGAGCAGGAAGAUGGGAUGUUGAAGAACGAGCAGCAGCAUUUACGCCGUCAAUUAAAAGUUACUAAGAGGGAGCCAGCUCUCUAUACUCUACUAGUCAAGAAAAAAGACUUAAUUUGAAGGGAAUUGAUUGAUCCUCACUGGAUUGUUUAGUGAAAGUUCUUGUUUUUAUUCGAACUUUUGCUCAAUUGCGUAUUCACAACUUGAGUCUAACAAAAACGAUGACUUAAUUUUCAGUUGGAAUGGGGAAAAAGCUUGCUCAAUUGAUUCACUUUUUCGAGGCA